rnacentral:tRNA from 1 species
GAUGGUAUAGCUGAGUGGUAGAGUGCAUGCCUAGCAUGCACAAGGUCCUGGGUAACCCAGUGCCUUCA